rnacentral:misc_RNA from 1 species
GGAAGUAAAAGUCGUAAUAAGGUCUCCGUAGGUGAACCUGCGGAGGGAUCAUUACAGAGUUCAUGCCCUACCGGGUAGAUCUCCCACCCUAUGUUAUUAUUACUUUGGUGCUUUGGCGGGCCGUUAGGCUCCGGCCCGACUACCGGCCCCGGCUGGUAAGCGCCCGCCAGAGGACCCAAAACCCUGAAUAUUAGUGUCGUCUGAGUACUAUAUAAUAGUUAAAACUUUCAACAACGGAUCUCUUGGUUCUG